rnacentral:rRNA from 1 species
UACAGAGGGUGCGAGCGUUAAUCGGAAUUACUGGGCGUAAAGGGCGCGUAGGCGGUUAUAUAAGAGUGAUGUGAAAGCCCUGGGCUUAACCUGGGAAGUGCAUCGCUGACUGUAUAACUGGAGUUUAGGAGAGGGUGGUGGAAUUUCCGGUGUAGCGGUGAAAUGCGUAGAGAUCGGAAGGAACGUCGAUGGCGAAGGCAGCCACCUGGCCAAAAACUGACGCUGAGGCGCGAAAGCGUGGGGAGCAAACAGG